CAGUUGAGAGAGCUGAAGGGCCUUGCUCUCUACUGCUCAUGGGAUUCCAUGUUUAUAUGUUUAUAGGGCACGCAAACUAUUUUCGAGUUCCAGCUAACACUUGGCAGGAGUACACUUGGUUCAGGAGUACUUAGACUGCAAAGGCUAAAAGGGAAUUUCCGUUUAGGACAACAGAAUGUUGCUCGACCAACCUAAACAGGAAUAAGCUCUGGAGCAGGAAAUGAAAAAGACUGAAGGGGAAGAGUAGUCUCAGAUGAAAAGGAAUAUGACAAACAACGUCCCUCCUUUCACACCACAUACAAAAUAGCAGCCAAGGGUGAGAGGUGAUUUUACCUUUUCUCUCUCUUACGACUGUCUUUGUACACUAAUGUUAUUUUAUUAAUUAACUCUACAAAAUGAGACACAGAAGAGAAAGGGACAGCUGAAUGUCAGACACCUAUCUUUAUCUACCUCACAAACAAACAUCAAAUGCAGACUAGUACUAGUAAUGCAUAAUUUGUACAUGUUCUGAUUUGUACAUGAUCUUGGCAAAAUAAUGGUCAAUGGUCAAAUGAAAACAACUGUGAUGUAUCAAACCAAGGCACUAAGAAACAAAGCAAAGUCUCUGCCUCCUACACACUCCCUCUACAAACACUUCUCCAUGUAGUGAAUCCUUCAGCCGCUGCAAUCAUAAUCAAGACUUUCCCAGAAUGCCGAGUGGAAUAUAAGACGUGUGUGUUGAACCGUCAGGAGGGUCAGUCGUGUUAAUCAGUGGAGGACAGUGGGGGUGUUCGGCCUGCUGAUUAUGCAUCAUAAAUGACGCACAAGACCAACCAAGGACCACUUGAAUAUAACUUCAACAGGCACUUUAUACUCAGCAUUAACUUGACGAAUUAUAAUUAUAAUUUGUGAUGCUGAAACAGAGUCUGUCCUGAGCAAAAUGACACAACAUUUAAUGCUCUGUCUUCUCACAACAAGCAUCAGUGACCUUUGAUGACCAAUGAGGAGCGGAUUAUUGAUGUUUAUUGUGCGCCACCUUGUGGGUGAAACAGAAACGGUGAACAUUAAUAUGGUACUUGGCUGUCCUACUUAAAUCAGUAUAUUCCUCAGAAUAUAGGAACAAUACACUGAGAAAGUACAUCUCUACAAUUUUUGUGUUUGACAUUCAUUUUUCUGAUGUAAAUAAUAAUUUUUGUGAUUUGUAAAGCCUUUGAAAUGCAGAACGGUAAAACCAUUACAAGUAAAACGGGUAUAACAUGCACUACUUUUCAAAAAUGAGUUUGUUUUUUUUAAAGAAGUCUGCUCAUCAGGGCUGCAGUUAUUUGAUCAAAAAAUACAGUAAAAACUAUGAAAUAUUAUUACAAUAUAAAACAUCUGUUUUCUAUGUGAAUAUAUUGUAAAGCUGUAAUUUAUUCCUGUGAUCAAAGCUGAAUUUUCAGCAUCAUUACUCCAGUCUUCAGUGUCACAUGAUCCUUCAGAAAUCAUUCUAAUAUGAUGAUUUGCUGCUCAAGAAACAUUUCUGAUUAUUAUCAAUGUUGAAAACAGUUGUGCUGUGAAAUAUGUGGAAAGUGUUAAGAAUUUAUUUGAAAUAGAAUCUUUUGCAACAUUAUAAAUGUCUUUAUUGUAUUUAUAUAUGUAUGUAUGUGUAUAUAUAUAUAUAUAAAGUCUUAAGCAGGAUCAACAUCAAUUUUUUUUCUGAUAAAAUAAAAAUAAGUAGAUAAGAAGAAAUGAAGAACAAUGUAUUAAAACUUAUUUCAUCUUUAUUAGGUACUAUCAAGAAAUACAUUUACUUGUGAGAUCAAAGCACUGUGCAUCAAAUCAUACACAACAUUAGAACAGUUUCUUUUAAUUAAUUUUAAGAAAUAAAUAUUUCUUGAGAAUAAACAAAGUAUUAUUAUUUUGCAUAAUUUCAGCUGAGAAAAAUGAACCUUGAACCUUGUUGAAGACUUGCAACAAAAUACCAUUUGUAAAAGGAAUUACAUUCAUGCAAACUGAAGUCUUGUUUUCAAUGCUGUACUGUAUAUGCUCCAGAUAAUUCAGAGACAAACAUAUUAUAUGGAAACUACUCUCUUACUAUCAGUGUCUGACACAUAAGUGCAGGAUUAGUGAAACACUUUGAAAUGGUCUGUAUUUCUGCAUGAAUGGCUCAUAACAUUGAGAUCUGAUCCAUAUUAAUGAACAAAAUAUACCAUUUAAAGUGCCAAUUAAGUUUGAUCUGAGGUGAUGAGAUGCUUGAUUUAUGUCUUAUAAGGGUGUAUAUGAUUACAAAUAUUUGAGACAAUUUUUAUGAGCCAUUCCUACAGAAAUUGAAGUUAUUUUUUCCUAAAUACAUGCCAGCGCAUGCAUAAAAUAAAUACACAGACACACACAAACACACACACUGACACACACACACACACACACACACACACACACACACACACACACACACACACAAAGAGUCCUACCCACCAUCACAGAAAUCAAAGGGGCUUGGGGCAAAAAUGGCAACAAAAUUAAUAAAAAUGCUCCCCAAAAAUCAAGAUAUAUGUGGCAAAAAUAUCCCUGUAUGAAUUCUUGUUUUUAAUAUUUAUAUCAUAAACAAGAAGUUCAUGUUAGGUGACUUAAAACCGAACAACUGAAGGAAUCAUUUGACUGAAUGAUUGAAUGACUCACUCGUUACAGUUUUCACAAUCACUAGGACACAUUUCUCAAAUCUCUUCACAGUGAUCACAUUAUCAGUCUAUGUGAGCUAAACUGUGGAUCAUUUAUCACUGCUUUGGCACACAAUGCAUUCAAUGACUACAUCUUUUGAUUUACAUGAAUACAAUUCUCAAUUAGACACAACUACCAUAAAAACUCUGUGAACCUACAGGCCAAUUUCCACAUUUACAUACUCUUUUAUAAGACAGCAAUUUGCUACAUUUCUACAGUAAAUACAGCACAAAUACACUGUAUAUAUACAGUAUGUAUUCACAAUUGAUUAAUGUUAUUGAACUGAACUGAAUCAACACUGAACUGACGUGAGAUGAAUAAUGACACUAUUGACUUGUUAGAGCUGCUUUACAGCAGAAUUUGAACUUGUUACUCCUGUGAAGCUGCUUCGAAACAGUAUGUAUUGUAUAAAGCACUAUAGAAAUAAAGGUGACUUGACUUGUAUGCAUAAUCAGUGUUGGAGCCAUUAUAUUGAAUUGUAAUUUUUGUUUGUGACACUAGAGGGCAUGUGAGUAUAUUUAACCCAAGUGCUAAUGAGAUACAGGUGGCGCAAUGGAAGUUCAAACAAACUUUUUGACCGUGCCAUGUCGAGCAUGCAGCGUAUAGUGCAGGACUGUGCUCGUGCCCGUUAACAGUUUGUUUUGAAUGGUAUUUUUGUUUUUUGAGUAGAAAAUCGAAGUUAAGUUUGAAGUUUUAUUUUAAUUUUAUUUUUGUUAUUUGCAAUGCUAAAUGGACAAUAAAUGGAUUGGCAUAUCCGACUUUAUUCCAAAGGUAUGGACAAUAACUUCAUUUAUUCAAGGCAAAGCACGCGUCAGAAACAGACUUCUAAACCCCAUCUGCGUCCCUACAAUCAGUAUUUACAAAAUAAACAGAAAUGCAAGAGUGAAAAAUGUAUUUGUUUCUCAAAUCAUUGAGUUUUGAUUUCUAAGUGAUCAAAUUAGGUAUAUUUACACUAUAAACAGGAAUGCAGGAGGUUAAAAAAAUGAUCAAAACGAGUUUUGAUCAAUUUAUCAAUAAGUGUUUUCACAUGAUCACUGGGUGUAGGUAAUCGGGAAAUGAUUGUGGUAUUAAAUUUCUUAAAUGAAACACAAUAGCUGCUAUUUUUUUAGUUAUGUGUCUAAUGUAGAGAACUGUGUUAAAAGUUUGUUUUACAAUUGCAAACUAAGUGUAAAGCAGAUAAUGUGCUUGUAUUUUUGCAGACUUAGUCUCAAGAUUAGGUACAUAUGGCACGCACAGCAAGAUCCUCGAGCAAUGCCAAGAGUGCCAAGCAAUGCCAUCCUCAAAACAAGUUCAAACACAAUAAACACCUGAGAAAUGUGUCCUAGCGAUUGUAAAAAACUGUAAGAGAAUGAUUUGCUGCCACCUAGUUUUAGUUUCAGUACAUUUUUUCCAUGUUUAUUUUCUAUAUUUAUAUCUGGCGUCUGCGGCUGAUAAAAUCAUUCCUGCGGUCCAACAUGCUGCAAGAAAGACUGUCCACACUUGCUCAGAUGUCAACUGAACACGACGUUAUGAGAUCGCUGUAUAAAGAUAAACUUUUGCUUUUGCAGCACUUCAUUAUCAGAAAGACAAGCUCUAAAUGUCAAAAUCAGAUCAACCUAAGUGUAAAACAUUUCCUCUUGAUGUAGCCUAUUCUUAUUCAUAUUGUAUUAAAUCACUUAUCUAAUCCCUAUUAUUUAAUUUUUAUUUUUUUGCUCUCAUGGCCUUGGUCAUUAACGCUGAGGGGCUGAGGGAGUGAUGAAGAUUGAAUGUUGAUUUUGUUCCCGGUCGUGAUUUUAAUGUGUGGAUAGAAUGCAUUUUAAAUAGACUAUUAAGAGUAACAUAAGGAGUUAAUAUAAUAAACACAAUGGUAAAGGCCAC